rnacentral:misc_RNA from 1 species
CGGAAAUGCUGUUCAAGCUAAGCAGAGUGCAAGUAGUUGUCAGGAAAACAUUCAUGACAUGGAAGCUUCAUCCUUUGAACGAAGUACGAUGUUAGAUAUAAGUGAGGAUAUGGAGCUUGAUAUUAUUGGGUGUACAGAGAAUUGUGAGGGAGGUCCUAGUAAUGAAUGCAAUGUUUCAACUGAAAAUUCAAGCUCGUUUGGAGAUACUGUAUCUGGG